rnacentral:tRNA from 1 species
GGUAGGGCGGCCGAGGUAAGCGGUGGAUUGUAGCCCCACAGACGGAGGUGUAAGUCCUCCUCCUACCA